UAAUCCGUAAGACUUUCUAAGAUAACAAUACGAAUACUAAAAAUCUGGACUAAAAAUAAGUUUCAAUUUGUUAGCGGGCAUGACGUAAAACAGCAAAUCAAAGAAUUCAACUUUAUUUAUAACUAAUAUAGGACAAUGCUGUUGAUUAAAAAAUACUCCAUUCCAGGACCUUUUGUUUUCCAAAUAUUUAAUAUUACCAAUAAUUGAUAAGUUCCAGUUCGACGGGUUCAAACAGAAAGAUUUGAAAGCAGAGAAAAUUGUGUAUCUUAUAAUCGGCAU
rnacentral:lncRNA from 1 species